rnacentral:rRNA from 1 species
CUUGCUUUCUUUGCUGACGAGCGGCGGACGGGUGAGUAAUGCCUGGGAAUAUGCCUUGAUGUGGGGGAUAACCAUUGGAAACGAUGGCUAAUACCGCAUAAUGCCUACGGGCCAAAGAGGGGGAUCUUCGGACCUCUCGCGUCAAGAUUAGCCCAGGUGGGAUUAGCUAGUUGGUGAGGUAAUGGCUCACCAAGGCGACGAUCCCUAGCUGGUCUGAGAGGAUGAUCAGCCACACUGGAACUGAGACACGGUCCAGACUCCUACGGGAGGCAGCAGUGGGGAAUAUUGCACAAUGGGCGCAAGCCUGAUGCAGCCAUGCCGCGUGUGUGAAGAAGGCCUUCGGGUUGUAAAGCACUUUCAGUCGUGAGGAAGGUAGUUGCGUUAAUAGCGUAAUUAUUUGACGUUAGCGACAGAAGAAGCACCGGCUAACUCCGUGCCAGCAGCCGCGGUAAUACGGAGGGUGCGAGCGUUAAUCGGAAUUACUGGGCGUAAAGCGCAUGCAGGUGGUUUGUUAAGUCAGAUGUGAAAGCCCGGGGCUCAACCUCGGAAUUGCAUUUGAAACUGGCAGACUAGAGUACUGUAGAGGGGGGUAGAAUUUCAGGUGUAGCGGUGAAAUGCGUAGAGAUCUGAAGGAAUACCGGUGGCGAAGGCGGCCCCCUGGACAGAUACUGACACUCAGAUGCGAAAGCGUGGGGAGCAAACAGGAUUAGAUACCCUGGUAGUCCACGCCGUAAACGAUGUCUACUUGGAGGUUGUGGCCUUGAGCCGUGGCUUUCGGAGCUAACGCGUUAAGUAGACCGCCUGGGGAGUACGGUCGCAAGAUUAAAACUCAAAUGAAUUGACGGGGGCCCGCACAAGCGGUGGAGCAUGUGGUUUAAUUCGAUGCAACGCGAAGAACCUUACCUACUCUUGACAUCCAGAGAAGCCAGCGGAGACGCAGGUGUGCCUUCGGGAACUCUGAGACAGGUGCUGCAUGGCUGUCGUCAGCUCGUGUUGUGAAAUGUUGGGUUAAGUCCCGCAACGAGCGCAACCCUUAUCCUUGUUUGCCAGCGAGUAAUGUCGGGAACUCCAGGGAGACUGCCGGUGAUAAACCGGAGGAAGGUGGGGACGACGUCAAGUCAUCAUGGCCCUUACGAGUAGGGCUACACACGUGCUACAAUGGCGCAUACAGAGGGCUGCCAACCAGCGAUGGUGAGCGAAUCCCAAAAAGUGCGUCGUAGUCCGGAUUGGAGUCUGCAACUCGACUCCAUGAAGUCGGAAUCGCUAGUAAUCGUGGAUCAGAAUGCCACGGUGAAUACGUUCCCGGGCCUUGUACACACCGCCCGUCACACCAUGGGAGUGGGCUGCAAAAGAAGUGGGUAGUUUA